rnacentral:lncRNA from 1 species
ACCUGCGUGAGUCUGACUGGAUUAACGGUAAAACGUCAGCUUGUCUGUGAGAGUGUAAAAGGUUCUUUCAUUUUGGUUAUAAGUACAUGGUACAGGUGUGUUGGUGUAAAAAUUGAUGCUGACUGAACUCAGGCAGUUGUGCUGGACCUUCUGUACUUUAUACAGGAGAUGACAGUAAACUUUCAAGUUUAAGAGGUGUGUUGGUGUAAAAAUUGAUGCUGACUGAACUCAGGCAGUUGUGCUGGACCUUCUGUACCUUAUACAGGAGAUGACGGUAAACUUUGAAGUUUAAGAGGUUCUGUCAUUUUGGUUAUAAGUACAAGAACUCAGGCAGUUGUGCUGGACCAUCUGUACUUCAUUCAGGGGAUGACAGUAAACUGCAAAGUUUAAGAG